GACGAACGCUGGCGGCGUGCUUAACACAUGCAAGUCGAACGGAAAGGCCUGCUUUCCCUUGUGGAUUGCGGGUACUCGAGUGGCGAACGGGUGAGUAACACGUGAGUGAUCUGCCCCCAACUUGGGUAUAAGCCUGGGAAACUGGGUCUAAUUCCCGAUAGGACUGCAGGGUGGUGCCUGUGGUGGAAAACGAUUUUCUAGUGGUUGGGGAUGAGCUCGCGGCCUAUCAGCUUGUUGGUGGGGUAAUGGCCUACCAAGGCGGCGACGGGUAGCCGGCCUGAGAGGGUGGACGGACACAUUGGGACUGAGAUACGGCCCAGACUCCUACGGGAGGCAGCAGUGGGGAAUAUUGCACAAUGGGCGGAAGCCUGAUGCAGCGACGCCGCGUGGGGGAUGACGGCCUUCGGGUUGUAAACUCCUUUCGACCGCGAGGAAGCCACCUGGUUGGAAGGGUGGUGACGGUAGUGGUAGAAGAAGCACCGGCUAACUACGUG
rnacentral:rRNA from 1 species